rnacentral:misc_RNA from 1 species
AGAGUUAAAUAGUACGUGAAAUUGUUGAAAGGGAAACGAUUGAAGUCAGUCAUGCUUGCGGGGAAUCAACAAAGUGGUUUUCUUCCUUGUGCACUUCCUUGCUUGGCAGGUUAGCAUCAGUUUUGAUUGUCAUUAAAGAACUGGGGGAAUGUGGCUUCUUCGGGAGUGUUAUAGACCCUGGUAGAUGUGGCGAUUGGGAUUGAGGAUUGCAGCGAAUGCUUCUUGGCUAGUCACCUGGCUUCUGACGGUUACCUUGCUUCCGAUAGCUUGCUAACGGUUGUGAGACUCGAUUGUCUAGAUGUUAGAGUGAACAUAAAUUCGCUAAGGAUGCUGACGUAAUGGCUUUAAACGA